GGGCUCGAACGUAAGAUGACUGUAGGUGAAGCUUACAUCUCUUCGGAGCAUUUUACGAGGUGCUGCAUGGUUGUCGUCAGCUCGUGCCGUGAGGUGUCGGGUUAAGUCCAUAACGAGCGCAACCCUACCUUUAGUUGCCAUCAGGUAAUGCUGGGGACUCUAAAGGAACUGCCUACGCAAGUAGUGAGGAAGGCGGGGAUGACGUCAAAUCAGCACGGCCCUUACGUCCAGGGCUACACACGUGCUACAAUGGCCGAUACAGAGGGCAGCUACCUGGUGACAGGAUGCAAAUCUCCAAAGUCGGUCUCAGUUCGGAUCGGAGUCUGCAACCCGACUCCGUGAAGUUGGAUUCGCUAGUAAUCGCGCAUCAGCCAUGGCGCGGUGAAUACGUUCCCGGGCCUU
rnacentral:rRNA from 1 species